rnacentral:lncRNA from 1 species
GGGGAAAGUAUGAAGUCAUCUUUCUCAUUGCUCUCCUCUUUAAGUCCAAGAGCAAAGUACUUCUAAAAGGCAGGCUUUGUGGUUCGCAUGGAAUGUAAAUAGCUCAAAUGGCCCCACUUCCAAGAAGCCUUCUUUAACCCUAAGGCUGAAUGAAACAGAAAAAUCAGUUGGAAGUGAUUUCCCCUCUGUGGUGUCUUCCAGUCCUGGAGAGAACACUGGGAGAUGACUGGAUGACAUGGCUCCCUGUCUGGCCUGUGUCUAUUGAUUUGGUGAACUGGCUUCUACAGGAACAUAGAGAAGAUGUGGCAGAGGUCAGAUGGCUCUGAAAAUGGAGGGGGGAAAAGCUGCUAUGGUUUUCUUUGUCCAGGCCACUGUCAUAAGGAAGCCUGGAAGAGUGAAGAAAGGUCUGAUUGAUCACAAGGUCCUAUCAAAUGUCAAAGCUGGCCCUGGCUGACCUCCCAUCUAUUCAGAGCUGCUUUGAUUUAAUCUCCAAACUGGCUGCUUCUCCAGGCUGGAAGAAGAUUGAAAUUUCCAACAAGGCAAAGGUGAUGAAAAUGUCUUCAUGGAAUCUUUGGGUACUAAGGAAAAGAGAAAAUGGAGGAGGGCAAUUACCAAAACAAGAAAUCAUCUAAUAAAACAUGAUCCACAGAACAGGAAGCCUGAUUUCUCUUGUCAAGUCACUAAACAGGCAAGAGCCUUCUCAGAUAUGUCCUGAACACCUUCUCUUUGCCUGACAAGUUCAAGAAAUUAAGUCAAAUAAAUAUUUGAUGGAAAUCUACCUGGCUCCAAAGACUGGGCUUCUAACAAUCCUCUCCACAACGUUUGAAUACAAAAAAAGUAUCCUGCUAAAGGACAGAGCCCCUCCAUCUCUUCCCGCCAAGCUCUCUGCGUGCCUGGUGAGAGGUAUAGCACUUUUGCUUUCUUUUUCAAUUUGCUCUUUAAAUGAGUGACAAUAUCACCUAGUGAUUAAGGACCUGCCUGGAGCUGGGCUGAUGCUUGGAGUUGGGCUGAACCUGAGCCUGAAUUCGAGCUCUUCUUCUUCUUGCUGACUUUGACCCUAGGUGAGUUAAUUUUUCUAAGCUUCAGUUUCUUGGUCUAUAAAAAGGAGGAUGAUAAUUCUUUUCUCACUCAGUAUUGUUUUAAAGAUUAGUAAGAUAAUAUAUGCAACGCAUUUAGCACAGUGCCUUGCACAUGAUAAACCCUGAAUAAAUGGUAGCCAGUUUUAAAAUACAACAUAAUUUUAAGCGUUGGUAUUUCUUAUGACUCCAAUCUCAUCCCUCCUUUUCCAUUGUCACUACAUUUGCUCUGUGUCUCCCAUAUCGAAUCUGGAACUUGCAUUCAAAGCC